UACGUAGGGGGCUAGCGUUGCUCGGAAUCACUGGGCGUAAAGCGCACGUAGGCGGACUCUUAAGUCGGGGGUGAAAUCCUGGAGCUCAACUCCAGAACUGCCUUCGAUACUGGGAGUCUUGAGUUCGGGAGAGGUGAGUGGAACUGCGAGUGUAGAGGUGAAAUUCGUAGAUAUUCGCAAGAACACCAGUGGCGAAGGCGGCUCACUGGCCCGAUACUGACGCUGAGGUGCGAAAGCGUGGGGAGCAAACAGG
rnacentral:rRNA from 1 species